rnacentral:rRNA from 1 species
GAUGAACGCUGGCGGCGUGCCUAAUACAUGCAAGUCGAGCGAACAGACGAGGAGCUUGCUCCUCUGAUGUUAGCGGCGGACGGGUGAGUAACACGUGGAUAACCUACCUAUAAGACUGGGAUAACUUCGGGAAACCGGAGCUAAUACCGGAUAACAUGUUGAACCGCAUGGUUCAACAGUGAAAGACGGUCUUGCUGUCACUUAUAGAUGGAUCCGCGCCGCAUUAGCUAGUUGGGAAGGUAACGGCUUACCAAGGCAACGAUGCGUAGCCGACCGGAGAGGGUGGUCGGCCACACUGGAACUGAGACACGGUCCAGACUCCUACGGGAGGCAGCAGUAGGGAAUCUUCCGCAAAGGGCGAAAGCCUGACGGAGCAACGCCGCGUGAGUGAAGAAGGUCUUCGGAUCGUAAAACUCUGUUAUUAGGGAAGAACAAAUGUGUAAGUAACUAUGCACGUCUUGACGGUACCUAAUCAGAAAGCCACGGCUAACUACGUG